rnacentral:rRNA from 1 species
UACGGAGGGUGCAAGCGUUAUCCGGAUUUACUGGGUUUAAAGGGUGUGUAGGCGGACUUUUAAGUCAGCGGUGAAAUCUCCGGGCUCAACCCGGAAACUGCCAUUGAUACUAUUGGUUUUGAAUGUUGUUGAGGUGGGCGGAACGGGUCAUGUAGCGGUGAAAUGCAUAGAUAUGACCCGGAACACCGAUUGCGAAGGCAGCCCACUAAGCAACGAUUGACGCUGAGGCACGAAAGCGUGGGGAUCAAACAGG